rnacentral:misc_RNA from 1 species
AAAAUUAUUUUUUGAAAAAUUUGUNAAAUGAAUUAACUUGCUUAACAAGCUGCAAGUCUUACUAUGUUANAUAUAAAUGGUCUGUGUUGCAGUUAAUUCGCCGUAUUUUCGCUAGCUUUCUUAAUUAUGCCGCUUAAAACAUGGUGACAACAAUAAAAAUCACUUGUGACGGUGUAUUCAUACAAUCCAAUUCGUAUCUUACGCCUACGGUGUCUGGCAACGCUGUUGCGCAUCAUCGUACGCAUACAAACAAUAUUGCGCAACAUUUGCCCAAGUCGCCAACAUCGCUACCAACAACAACGACUGCAACAUCGUUCGCCAUUUGCAGCGACGAUCAAAGCAACUCGGACACUAGUUCUAACGAGUGUGAACAUCGAUUGCGGCAGAGUUUCAGGCACACAAACUCACCGAAAGUCGCACUUAUAUCGGCGACAAUUAGCAGNUGCAACAAUAUAAACAACAGCACUGUAUUUAACUCUUACUCCUCCAACACAUCCUCAUCCUCUUCGCAUUCAUCCAGCAACUCACACACCUCCAACGCUACGCAACGCCAACGACGUCAACGACGCAGUAACUCCAGUAGUCCACGCGACUCAUUCAAAUUCAUUACGCCUGAAACUGUUAGGACGAUACCNCACGACAAAGCGGUAGAUUCGCGUCGUCGUUACUAUUACAACGGCACAGGCGCCAGCGUCGCUGGCAACAGCNACAGCAACAUUUAUUGGUGCAAACAGGCCCUCAUCGGCAGCAGUGGUAAAGGCAGCGUUGGCAGUUAUGAGCAUGCAAAUAGCGCACAGAAGCGUCGCGCACAUACUGCUGAACACGUUACGUUGACCCGGAGCGNCAGUAGUACUACGCCCCAUAAAGAGUUUCGAAACGCGCCCCCNUCAACAACAGCAGCGACAGCGGCAGGUGUGGCCAAGGUGGUGGCGGUGCGACGAGAAAGCAAUGAACAACCGUCGGACGGCGACAAAAGUGACAACCAAAAAAGCAAUAAAAACAGUAACCGUGACACAUCACUUGCGGUUGGCGUCUGGCAAAAAGCGCACAUAGGCCUUUAUUACAGCGCUAACAAACCACCAGUAAAGAAUAACAAUAAUGAAGACACUCAUGCAAACGGUGACGAUGGUGAUGACACUCCAGUGAAAGCCGUAGCAAGACAAAGUGACAACANCACAAAAAUCAACCAAAAAAAUAAAAGCGCUAACUGCAGUGUGUAUACUGACAAAGUGAGUUCUUCUACAAGUUCUAUAUCCGACUGCACUACGUCGCGAAAUUCAAAAGCGAACUCUAAGCCGAAGGCGCAUGUGAAAUGUGUAUCAACGAAACGCGUAUCGGCCAACGGUGGUGUGUCGUCCGCCGAUACAACACGCCUCUUUAAUUUCCUACGUGCAGCGCGUAAAUUUUAUCGUAGUGCCGCGAAUANUGAUCUGGUAGAUGGUACUCAAAAUUCCGCUGAUAUAGUGGAUUUUGGGUGUGCGCAACAGCAACAGUCCGAGCACCCUAAGCGUCGUUCUUCGUUGGCGGCCAUAAACGAUCGGCUGGAGAUUGCAGAUUAUAAUAAGUCAUCAGCUGAUGCUUUAAGCCAAAUAACCGGGUCUUUAAAUGAUGAUUGGUCUGGCGAGGACGCUUUAAUUUCGAAAGAAAAUCGUCACCCAAAAAGCAUUAGUAAGAGUCAGCACUCGUUUAAGGAACUGCAGGCGCAGACAGAACAACAGCAAUCGCCCACAACUGGCUUAAAGCUCACAAGCGCAGCAGCAGCAGUUUCAAAUUCCCGCCGUAACACUAACGAAGUAACAGCGACUGCCGCAAAUACCCAAAUUCCAACAGACAGUAGAACACCAACGACCAAAGUAACCUCAGCAACUCAGCAAAAGCCAAACACACCUCAAAUCAAACAACAGACAGUGCAACAGCUUAAACAGGUGCAGCAACUGAGUGGCCGCAAUAGCAGUCACAAUAAUAGUAAACAUAAUACUGCUGCGAUAGAAUAUCACCACAACAGCGUCGACGUUUGCAGUGAAGCGCCAACUUCAAAGAAUUUCGCUAAACUCGUCGGUAGCGCCACUGCGGCGACUGGAUUAUCGUGUACACGUACAACAACUGGUGUAGUGCCAACGCCAGCGACGUCAACGGCUGUCACGCCGGCGUCGUCGUCUGCGUUCACAACCUCGCCAAAAGCGAGCAAUAAAAAAGUGAUGCACAGUCACGCCACGGCGACCCAACAUAGCGGACAAACAACAGUGGUUGGUCAUCAUCGCGGCUUCUCGCAACCAUCUGUGACAGUGGCGGCCAAUUCAGCAGGCGAUCCAUGGUUUUUACAAUCCACCGGGCAUCAAAUGCCGCCGACAGCGCCUUUGCGACAUAAUAAACGUCCCGCGCCGCAACCCAAUCACGCUAACAGCGUGGGUGGCGCUGGCCUAGGAAUUGGCGUUGGCGUGGGAACAGGCGGAGGUGGUGGCAUUGCCGGUGCGGGGAGCAUCGGUUUGGCGAACUCUAGCGGCGUUGGUGCUAAUUUAUUGCAUCAACAGCAGCUGAGUCAAUCGCAGCCUCACAUUGUACCGCCGAAUAUUCCGCCGCAUCAUCACAACAAUGUGAGUCAACAUCACAACGCAAUCCAUUUGUCCUCGCAUGCACUUAAUAGUCAUAAUUUAAUAUCGACCGCGGUUGGUAGCAAUCAUUCACCAAAAUCACCCAAUCAACAACAACAACAGCAGCAUCAUCAUCAUCAGCAGCAACAACAGCAGACGGCACAAUUAACCGGCUCUACGCCACAGCCGCAUGCACAUGCACACGUUUUAUCCACCUUUGCACCAACUGCCGCUAAUUGUGCGCCCACGGGUGGUGUGACAGCUGCCGCGGUGGCCGCCGUCACACAACAGCAACAGCAGCACUUGCAGUUGCUGGCAAAUGCUUCCAGCAAUAGUAACAAUAAUCUGAUGUCGUCCUCAUUGAAUGCGGCGCAGCAUAGUGCCGCCUUAUCGUUACAUGAGCGCGGCUUACCACCAAAAAGUGGCGCCCAUGUGGCCGGUUUGGGCGUCGGUUUGCACAGUAGCAAUAUGCUAUUGCAUCAAACACAAGCACCCACAUCGCUUACGAGCAGCCAGCAACAAACGCAAUCGGCGAUAUCGCUGAACACAGCUGGGGGGAGUAGUAGUGCUGGUGGUGUGGCUGCUAGUAGCGGUAGCUUAACUGGUACAAGCAUGUCCACAUCUUUGCACAGUUUUGAUAGUGGCAGUUCGGCGGGCAAUGCCUGGGCAAGUAAUGCUAACGUAGCAGCGGCAGCUUUGCACUCACCCACUAACGCUUUAGGAGGCGGGAAUCAACAUCAUUUACAACCUCAACGCAAAUGUGAGGUUAAACUGAACGCAAUGCCUUGGUUCCAUGGCAGCAUAACACGCGACGAAGCCGAACAUCUAUUGCAACCACGCGAAGACGGUCUCUUUUUGGUGCGUGAAUCGACGAACUUCCCGGGCGACUAUACGCUAUGCGUCUGCUUUCAGGGCAAAGUGGAACAUUAUCGUGUCAAAUAUUUGGGAAAUAAACUAACCAUCGACGAUGAAGAGUAUUUUGAAAAUCUGGGGCAAUUAGUUGCGCAUUAUGAAGCUGAUGCCGAUGGCCUUUGCACACAACUCAUCAAAUGUUUACCCAAGCAGGGAAGACAGGAGUUCUGCAUUAAUUCAAAAGAUUUCCUUGAUAAGGGAUGGGUAAUACCGGAGGCUGAUUUGCAGCUACGCGAAAGCAUUGGCAAAGGCGAGUUCGGUGAUGUGAUGUUGGGUAUAUUGCGCAGUGAAAAAGUCGCCGUUAAGAUGCUUAAGGAUGAGGGCGCUGUGCAAAAGUUCUUAGCAGAAGCCUCUGUUAUGACUACAUUAGAGCACGAAAACUUGGUAAAAUUCAUAGGUUUGGUGUUUACCAGCAAACACAUUUACUUGGUAACGGAGUAUAUGAGCAAAGGCUCGCUGGUCGAUUAUCUACGUUCACGUGGACGGCAGCAUAUUACGAAAAAGGAUCAAAUCAAUUUUGCCUACGAUACCGCCUCCGGCAUGGAAUAUUUGGAAGCUAAAAAAGUCGUGCAUCGCGAUUUGGCCGCACGCAACGUACUUAUUUCCGAAGAGUGCGUUGCCAAAGUGUCCGAUUUUGGUUUGGCGCGUGAAGAAUGCUAUAAUCUGGAUGUGGGCAAAUUGCCCAUAAAAUGGACGGCGCCAGAAGCGCUCAAGAAUGGUCGUUUCUCCAACAAAUCCGAUAUGUGGAGUUUUGGUAUUUUGCUAUGGGAAAUCUAUUCAUUCGGUCGAGUUCCUUACCCCCGCAUACCCCUCAACGACGUCGUCAAACACGUUGAAGUUGGCUAUAAAAUGGAAGCACCCGAGGGUUGUCCACCAGAAAUCUAUGAGAUGAUGCGGCAGGCGUGGGACUUGAAUCCCUCGAAACGUCCAACAUUCUCCGAACUGAAAGUUAAAUUGUUGCACCUGAAGAACACUACACCAGCGUGAGAACAUAAUUGCAAUGCACUACGAGUGUAGGGUGUGACAGUCAAACAAACUGGAAACAGCAAACAUUUAAAACAAUCCAAUCCAAUCGAAGUGAGCAACUUAAAUUACCAAGUUAGAAACACUAAGGCAAGGUUAUAAAUUAAAAGAAAGGGACAUUUAUUGGUAAGCAUAAAAUUGUAAAAUGUUAGAUUUCAGCAAUUUAUUUGUUUUUAUUUGUAUUGUUUUAAGUAAAUAUAUUUGCAAUUAAAUUAAGUUAAAAAUGUAAGAAUAAGCUGGGUAACACACUUUUGAACGGCGUUGUAGUAAAUACCUAUUGUGUAAUAGAAGGCAAAUGAUAGCGCUAGAUUCGCCAAUGCACGUGCGUACCCAUUGAAAAUUGAACGAUAGCAGCUAGUUGAAAAAUUAAAUGUGAAUUAAAAAUUAAAUUUAAAAACUACAUAAAUCAAAAAAUUAUAGUAUAGAACAUAAAAUAAAUAUAAAAAUUUGUCUAGUUUUCAUGAUUAUUUAUAUGCGUAUAUUUGUUUUAGUUUCUAAUUACAAUAACUAUGUAGUGCUACAGCACUAUUUACUACUACUAUACUACUAUUUAACACUGCUGCUACGACAAUUCUAUGCUAAGUUUACUUACGUUAUUUAUACGAAGACACAUUAGCAAACACACACACACAUAUACUAUGUGUUUAAUCCAUAUUUUUUUUUUAUAAAUAUGUAAUAUUAUUGUGAACUUGUGGACAUGAAUGUAAUAAAAUGUUAAUUUGCUUACAAAUUAUAGUUUGAAGAGAGUAUGUGAGAACUUGAAGUGACAACAGGAAAUGAGCCAGCAAGCAUUUCAUGUAAAAUUAAACAAUUACAGGUAUAAGAUGACUCAAAUAUUCGCACAUGACAGCCACACAAAAGUAUAAACAAAUACUACAGAAUUCUUUCGUAAUUCAAAAUUAGCAGAAAUAAGUUUUAUAAAAAUUUAAGGAAGGAGUAUAAAUCACAUCAACUAAAUUUUUUUUUUUAAUAAUCUUUGACAUAAAAAUAUUGAUUCUAUAUACAAAUAUAUAGCUCAACUAUUAUAAUCAUACGUCAAUUUGAAUUUGAAACGAAACGAUAAACAAAAUUUGAUAUUAAAUUACAAUUAGAUAGCUGUGUAAACAACGCAAAACCAUUUCAAACUUUGAAACCAUUUCUCUGAUUUCAAUUUAUGUACUCAAAUAUUUGUUUCGAACUGCUGCUGAUCGUUACCCAGAUGUUUAUAAAUUAAUCUGCUGCUACUACUAAUUUUCUUAAAAAAAAAACGUAUGUAUUCUCUCUGAAUUGUCUUGUCUCUUCGCUCAAGUUAUACUNGUUUACAUAACUCUGCUGUAUAAAUGCGUUGCUUGUGAAACAAGCAAAGUGAAUAACUAUUUAAGAAAAAUUUAUUUACAUUAUGUAAAGGGUUUCCAACGACAGCAAAAAACCACACAUAUACAUAUUUACAUACAACUCAUCCUCAUAUCAUGAUCAUACAAACACUUAUUUAACAUUAAUUAAUUUAAACAAUUAUGUAAUUAUACGUGUUAAGAGUAUAUGUACAUAACGCAUUUCAUUUAGAUGNGUGUAUUUGUUGAUUUGUUUUUACGAAAGUUUAAAUUCAGUAAUUUAGUGUUUCAAGUCAUUGUUUGGGCAACAGAAAGCAAAACUGGCAGCACAGAUCUACAUAACUUACUCUUACUACUAUUCUAACUAUUUGGAAAGGUGUUAUAACAAGCUAUUUUAUACCACAUACAAACACAGAUACAGUCUCGGCAUAAGAUUAAUUUCGCAGAAAACAUUACAGAAGUACAUUUCAAAAUUAUCAGAUUGAGUAGUUACAGAAAACAUUUUAAAGUCAAAAUUAAACUAAUAGCGUUACAUAAAAUUUGCGCUUCUCAAGAUUCCGCAACAUUUCCAAUAUUGUGUUCUCAAUAACACUAAACGUUUUGUUUGGAACAAAUGCAAUUGAUUUAUAUUAUCAUUCACAACUAACUAACGAAUUUCACAUUGCUUUACAUUCUUUGCUCAUUGCAUUAUAAAUUGGUGUUAUACCCACUGUCUUAUAAUUUAAUUAGCUUCUCCAAUUUGUAUAAAAUUUUUAAUUCAGCAUUAAGUCUAUAUGUAUAAAUAUAUAUCUGAUCUUAUGGUUGAGUUCUCAGAGUCUCAGUUAAGUUAGACGGAAAAUUACUUCAAUAUUAAUCCGAUAAAGCGCCUGAUUAUCAAUAUAUGUUAUAUGUUAAAAAUAAAAAUUCUUUGAUUUUUAUAUUUGA